rnacentral:rRNA from 1 species
AGUGAACGCUGGCGGUAGGCCUAACACAUGCAAGUCGAACGGCAGCACAGUAAGAGCUUGCUCUUACGGGUGGCGAGUGGCGGACGGGUGAGGAAUACAUCGGAAUCUACUUUUUCGUGGGGGAUAACGUAGGGAAACUUACGCUAAUACCGCAUACGACCUACGGGUGAAAGCAGGGGAUCUUCGGACCUUGCGCGAUUGAAUGAGCCGAUGCCGGAUUAGCUAGUUGGCGGGGUAAAGGCCCACCAAGGCGACGAUACGUAGCUGGUCUGAGAGGAUGAUCGGCCACACUGGAACUGAGACACGGUCCAGACUCCUACGGGAGGCAGCAGUAGGGAAUAUUCCGCAAUGGGCGCAAGCCUGACGGAGCCACGCCGCGUGAGUGAUGAAGGUCUUCGGAUCGUAAAACUCUGUUAUUAGGGAAGAACAUCUGUGUAAGUAACUGUCCACAUCCUGACGGUACCUAAUCAGAAAGCACCGGCUAACUUCGUG